GUGGGGAAUCUUGCGCAAUGGGCGAAAGCCUGACGCAGCCAUGCCGCGUGAAUGAUGAAGGUCUUAGGAUUGUAAAAUUCUUUCACCGGGGACGAUAAUGACGGUACCCGGAGAAGAAGCUCCGGCUAACUUCGUGCCAGCAGCCGCGGUAAUACGAAGGGGGCUAGCGUUGCUCGGAAUUACUGGGCGUAAAGGGCGCGUAGGCGGGCAGCUUAGUCAGAGGUGAAAGCCCAGGGCUCAACCUUGGAAUUGCCUUUGAUACUGGCUGUCUUUAGUUUGGGAGAGGUGAGUGGAACUCCGAGUGUAGAGGUGAAAUUCGUAGAUAUUCGGAAGAACACCAGUGGCGAAGGCGACUCACUGGCCCAAUACUGACGCUGAGGCGCGAAAGCGUGGGGAGCAAACAGGAUUAGAAACCCUUGUAGUCC
rnacentral:rRNA from 1 species